rnacentral:misc_RNA from 1 species
CGGGAGAGGAAAACAAUAAUAUAAAAAGAAAAAGGAAAAAACCUCGCAACUUUUCCAGUCAACAAACAACAACGAGAAAAAUAACAACGAAUUUGAAUUCUGACUCUGUAAGCAUCUGCUCAUCUUGAACAAUGCUUUCUUAUUUUACCUUAUAAUCUUCUUUCUCAUCAUGGGUUUCUACUUUUCUCUUCCCUACAGCUUUCUGUUCACUUGCAUAUGUUUUUAAUUCAGGUAAGCUGAUGAUUGUUGCAUUUAAUUCAGGUAAGCUGAUAGAUAAGGGAAUGUGGUGAAUGAGUUUUAUUUUCAAGUUGAAAUUUCAUUUGGAAAGUUUCUUGCUGAUCUCGUGCUUAGGAAGACUUUAAACUUUUUGGGUUUUCCAUUUCAGUCCCAAAAAGUUUGGAUUUUGAUAUUGGGUUGGUGAGAGGAGAGUGGGAAAGCAUAAAGUAGUUCUGUUUUUGGUUUGACUCUGAUUGGAGAAAUCAGGGAGUGCCUUGAUGUGUGGGUCGAGAGGUGAGUUUGCUUUUGGUUUUGUGGAUGAGAAUGAGAGUUUCCGCCCCCCCUUCGUUUGCUUUGUUCUGGGAAAUACAGACAUUGAAUGAGCUUUCUGGUUGGGUUGAAAACAUCAAUUAGAUUUGUGCUAGCACUUUCUUCAAGUGUGCUUAUGAUUAUGGCAGAUUUGGAAUUUGGUAUUAUUUGAAAGAUUCUGAUAGUAUUGGACUGAACAGUGAAAUUUUUGGAUUCGUUUUUGUGGCUCUUUUAGGAGUAGUAUUUGUUUGUUUAUGUAAAUUAUGUUAAAACAGAUACUUAGUAAGCUUCCGCGAAAGUCAUUUAAAUCGUCUCAAAAUCGUGAUCAUGGUGGAAAUCUUGCCAUCAAUUCAAACAACUCCACUGGCUCAAGAAGCAGUGAUUUUGGGGAGAAGUCAUCAAAGUUGAAUGUCACAUCUGUAACAGCAAAUAAUUCUGCUUCAGACACAGGACAAAACCAUGGUAACAAUGAUCAGCGAGGUGUGACUUCAAAGCUGAAUGAUAAUCUGGGGUUUUCUUCAUAUGAAGGAUUGCCUGAACUCAGGGAUGUUCCAAAUUCUGAGAAGCAGAACUUGUUUAUAAAAAAGCUCAACCUUUGUUGUAUUGUAUUUGACUUCAAUGACCCAACAAAGAACCUCAAAGAAAAGGAGAUCAAGCGACAGACGUUGUUAGAGCUGGUAGAUUAUGUGACUUCUGUGAAUGGAAAAUUCACAGAAACUGUUAUUCAAGAAGUUCUGAAAAUGGUUUCUGCAAAUUUAUUUAGGAUGUUCACUCCUCAACCACGUGAGAAUAAAGUUGUAGAUGGUGUUGAUUUGGAGGAGGAGGAGCCUUCUAUGGAUCUUGCAUGGCCGCACCUGCAGCUUGUGUAUGAGGUUUUCUUGAGGUUUGUUGUAUCAUCUGAGACAGAUGUAAAACUGGCUAAAAGAUGCAUUGAUCAAUUCUUCAUUCUCAAGUUUCUGGAUUUAUUUGAUUCUGAAGAUCCCAGGGAAAGGGAGUACUUGAAAACAAUUCUCCAUCGCAUCUAUGGCAAAUUUAUGGUGCAUCGACCAUUUAUCAGGAAAGCUAUCAAUAACAUUUUCUAUCAAUUUAUUUUUGAGACUGAGAAGCAUAAUGGGAUGGCUGAACUUUUAGAGAUUUUGGGUAGCAUUAUUAAUGGGUUUGCUCUGCCUCUGAAAGAGGAACACAAAAUGUUCCUUAUUCAUGUUUUAAUUCCUCUUCACAAGCCAAGAUGCUUGGCAAUGUACCAUCAGCCAUUGUCAUACUGCAUUAUGCAGUUUGUGGAGAAAGACUACAACCUUUCUGAUGCAAUAAUAAGGGGUUUGCUAAAGUACUGGCCUCUAACUAAUAGCUCAAAGGAAGUCAUGUUCCUGAAUGAGCUGGAGGAAGUUUUGGAAGCAACCCGGCCAGCAGAAUUUCAGCGUUGUAUGGUGCCCCUCUUUCUGCAAAUCGCUCGGUGUUUGAACAGUUCCCACUUUCAGGUGGCAGAGAGAGCAUUGUUCUUGUGGAACAAUGAUGCCAUUGAGAGCUUGAUUAUACAAAACCGUAAGGUUAUACUGCCCAUUAUCUUCCCUGCUCUGGAGAAAAAUACUAGAAACCACUGGAAUCAAGCUGUCCGUAGCUUGACCUUAAAUGUCCGCAAGAUCUUUUACGAUCUUGAACCGGAGCUAUCCAAUGAAUGCUUACUUAAUUUUGAAGAAGCAGAAAGGAAGGAAGAUGAAAUCAAAGCAAGAUGUGAAGCCAAAUGGGAACGAUUAGAAGAGCUUGCUGCUCAGAAAGCUCUAAGCAGCAAAGCAUGCUAAUUCCUUGCAUAUCAGCCCCUCACUCCUCUUCAGGUUAGCGAAAGUAGAGAUUUUUAUUGGCAUUACUUUGGACAGUCAAUUUUUUAAGGACACCAGAUUCCUUACAUGGAUAAGAAUAUUCAAGUGGUCGUGCUGUUAAGUUUUCUCUUCCUACAGUAUGUUUCAUCCUUGCCAAUUGCCAAAGCCUGUAACAUUUUGUAAAUUGAUCCUUGUGUUAUAAUUCUAAUAGAGAGCUGUAUGAAAUAUAAUACUCUCUAUUAGAAAGCUGAAUGAAAGGCAAUUGAUUUUGGCAAAGUUAAACUAUUAGUAUUUUAAAUUUGAACCAGAAAAUUAAAUAUCUGUAGACAUUCAUUUAUGUUCUUGAAUGCUUAUCAUUUUUCUUCCUUUUGCACAAGAGAAUCUGUAUAGAGAAUGGAAAAAGUGAGAAAAGUAUUCAGGGUACUGUCUUUAAUGGUACCUA